GCUUACGGCCACACCGGCCUGAGUACGCCUGAUCUCGUCCGAUCUCGGAAGCUAAGCAGGGUCGGGCCUGGUUAGUACUUGGAUGGGAGACCGCCUAGGAAUACCAGGUGCUGUAAGCU
ensembl:rRNA 5S_rRNA 5S ribosomal RNA